rnacentral:rRNA from 1 species
GAUGAACGCUGGCGGCGUGCUUAACACAUGCAAGUCGAACGGAAAGGCCCAAGCUUGCUUGGGUACUCGAGUGGCGAACGGGUGAGUAACACGUGGGUGAUCUGCCCUGCACUUCGGGAUAAGCCUGGGAAACUGGGUCUAAUACCGGAUAGGACCACAUUUUGGAUGGUGUGGUGGAAAGUUUUUCGGUGUGGGAUGAGCUCGCGGCCUAUCAGCUUGUUGGUGGGGUAAUGGCCUACCAAGGCGUCGACGGGUAGCCGGCCUGAGAGGGUGUACGGCCAACUUGGGACUGAAACACAGCCCGGACUCGUGAGUGAGGCAGCGGGGGGGAAUAGUGCAAGAGGGGCGGAGGCCUGAAGCCGCAACGCGGGGGGCGGGAUGAGGGCGUUCGGGGUGUAAACCACGUUGCCCAGUGACGAAGCGUGAGUGACGGUGCGGGGAAAAGAAGAACCGGCUAACUACGAG